rnacentral:miRNA from 1 species
GAUGUGCAAUAGGUAAGAAAGG